ACCUCCAGCAUGCUCAGAAAGCACGAACCAAACACACGAACGCCCCGGCGUUCGGUAGAUGGAAUCCCCCAAACGAGGGGAUUCAUACGAAUGGUAACAGUUGCCUGGAUGCCUAAGUCAUUCGGGACUUUGUGUUCACUAGAAAAGACCGACCGCAGUGCCAGAAUUCAUGGAACUGUUUUCGGCUACUGAGCCCCUGCGGUC